rnacentral:rRNA from 1 species
GCAUAUCAAUAAGCGGAGGAAAAGAAACCAACAGGGAUUGCCCUAGUAACGGCGAGUGAAGCGGCAACAGCUCAAAUUUGAAAUCUGGCCUCGGCCCGAGUUGUAAUUUGCAGAGGAAGCUUUAGGCGCGGCACCAACUGAGUCCCCUGGAACGGGGCGCCACAGAGGGUGAGAGCCCCGUAUAGUUGGACGCCUAGCCUGUGUAAAGCUCCUUCGACGAGUCGAGUAGUUUGGGAAUGCUGCUCAAAAUGGGAGGUAAAUUUCUUCUAAAGCUAAAUACCGGCCAGAGACCGAUAGCGCACAAGUAGAGUGAUCGAAAGAUGAAAAGCACUUUGAAAAGAGGGUUAAAUAGCACGUGAAAUUGUUGAAAGGGAAGCGCUUGUGACCAGACUUGCGCCGGGCUGAUCAUCCGGUGUUCUCACCGGUGCACUCUGCCCGGCUCAGGCCAGCAUCGGUUCUCGCGGGGGGAUAAAGGUCUCGGGAACGUAGCUCCUCCGGGAGUGUUAUAGCCCGGGGCGCAAUGCCCUCGCGGGGACCGAGGUUCGCGCAUCUGCAAGGAUG